rnacentral:rRNA from 1 species
CCUACGGGAGGCAGCAGUGGGGAAUAUUGGACAAUGGGGGGAACCCUGAUCCAGCCAUGCCGCGUGUGUGAAGAAGGCCCUCGGGUUGUAAAGCACUUUCAGUGAGGAAGAACGCCUGGUGGUUAAUACCCAUCAGGAAAGACAUCACUCACAGAAGAAGCACCGGCUAACUCCGUGCCAGCAGCCGCGGUAAUACGGAGGGUGCGAGCGUUAAUCGGAAUUACUGGGCGUAAAGCGCGCGUAGGUGGCUUGAUAAGCCGGUUGUGAAAGCCCCGGGCUCAACCUGGGAACGGCAUCCGGAACUGUCAAGCUAGAGUGCAGGAGGGGAAGGUAGAAUUCCCGGUGUAGCGGUGAAAUGCGUAGAGAUCGGGAGGAAUACCAGUGGCGAAGGCGGCCUUCUGGACUGACACUGACACUGAGGUGCGAAAGCGUGGGUAGCAAACAGGAUUAGAUACCCUAGUAGUC